rnacentral:rRNA from 1 species
ACUUAAAUUGAAGAGUUUGAUCAUGGCUCAGAUUGAACGCUGGCGGCAGGCCUAACACAUGCAAGUCGAGCGGUAGCACAGAGAGCUUGCUCUCGGGUGACGAGCGGCGGACGGGUGAGUAAUGUCUGGGAAACUGCCUGAUGGAGGGGGAUAACUACUGGAAACGGUAGCUAAUACCGCAUAACGUCGCAAGACCAAAGUGGGGGACCUUCGGGCCUCAUGCCAUCAGAUGUGCCCAGAUGGGAUUAGCUAGUAGGUGGGGUAAUGGCUCACCUAGGCGACGAUCCCUAGCUGGUCUGAGAGGAUGACCAGCCACACUGGAACUGAGACACGGUCCAGACUCCUACGGGAGGCAGCAGUGGGGAAUAUUGCACAAUGGGCGCAAGCCUGAUGCAGCCAUGCCGCGUGUAUGAAGAAGGCCUUCGGGUUGUAAAGUACUUUCAGCGAGGAGGAAGGCAUUAAGGUUAAUAACCUUAGUGAUUGACGUUACUCGCAGAAGAAGCACCGGCUAACUCCGUGCCAGCAGCCGCGGUAAUACGGAGGGUGCAAGCGUUAAUCGGAAUUACUGGGCGUAAAGCGCACGCAGGCGGUUUGUUAAGUCAGAUGUGAAAUCCCCGGGCUCAACCUGGGAACUGCAUUUGAAACUGGCAAGCUUGAGUCUUGUAGAGGGGGUAGAAUUCCAGGUGUAGCGGUGAAAUGCGUAGAGAUCUGGAGGAAUACCGGUGGCGAAGGCGGCCCCCUGGACAAAGACUGACGCUCAGGUGCGAAAGCGUGGGGAGCAAACAGGAUUAGAUACCCUGGUAGUCCACGCUGUAAACGAUGUCGACUUGGAGGUUGUUCCCUUGAGGAGUGGCUUCCGGAGCUAACGCGUUAAGUCGACCGCCUGGGGAGUACGGCCGCAAGGUUAAAACUCAAAUGAAUUGACGGGGCCCGCACAAGCGGUGGAGCAUGUGGUUUAAUUCGAUGCAACGCGAAGAACCUUACCUACUCUUGACAUCCAGAGAACUUAGCAGAGAUGCUUUGGUGCCUUCGGGAACUCUGAGACAGGUGCUGCAUGGCUGUCGUCAGCUCGUGUUGUGAAAUGUUGGGUUAAGUCCCGCAACGAGCGCAACCCUUAUCCUUUGUUGCCAGCGGUCCGGCCGGGAACUCAAAGGAGACUGCCAGUGAUAAACUGGAGGAAGGUGGGGAUGACGUCAAGUCAUCAUGGCCCUUACGAGUAGGGCUACACACGUGCUACAAUGGCAUAUACAAAGAGAAGCGACCUCGCGAGAGCAAGCGGACCUCAUAAAGUAUGUCGUAGUCCGGAUUGGAGUCUGCAACUCGACUCCAUGAAGUCGGAAUCGCUAGUAAUCGUAGAUCAGAAUGCUACGGUGAAUACGUUCCCGGGCCUUGUACACACCGCCCGUCACACCAUGGGAGUGGGUUGCAAAAGAAGUAGGUAGCUUAACCUUCGGGAGGGCGCUUACCACUUUGUGAUUCAUGACUGGGGUGAAGUCGUAACAAGGUAACCGUAGGGGAACCUGCGGUUGGAUCACCUCCUUACCUGAAAGAA